rnacentral:rRNA from 1 species
CUUCCAUCUGGAAGAAUCUGGAGACAGGUGCUGCAUGGCUGUCGUCAGCUCGUGUCGUGAGAUGUUGGGUUAAGUCCCGCAACGAGCGCAACCCUUGCCUUUAGUUGCCAGCAGUUCGGCUGGGCACUCUAAAGGGACUGCCGGUGUUAAACCGGAGGAAGGUGGGGAUGACGUCAAGUCCUCAUGGCCUUUAUGACCAGGGCUACACACGUACUACAAUGGCCGAUACAAAGGGCAGCGACACUGCGAGGUGAAGCCAAUCCCGUAAAAUCGGUCUCAGUCCGGAUUGGAGUCUGCAACUCGACUCCAUGAAGUUGGAAUCGCUAGUAAUCGUGGAUCAGCCAAGCCGCGGUGAAUACGUUCCCGGGCCUU